AAUCCUCAAGUUUCCACUUCCGUCUACCUCUGGAAACAUUUACGUUUCUGCCUAAAUGGAAAAAACAAAACAGUGCUAUCUUAUGAUCUCCAAUUCUUUUUACUUUAAAAUAACUCCUUCAAGAUAUUACUUUCAAAUGUACAUAUCACCGUUACAUGGACAUCAUGUCUCAGUAACAGAGGUAUACUUUGAAGCAUUGCUAAGUUAAGGUCCAUUAAUGGCCAUUAAACACCAAAUUCCACUUCAUGCCUUAGAAUAUUUGCACAAGAUCAAUUGAUUAUACUAAAAAACAUUUUUCAUGUCAAAUUCUUUGCAAAUAAAAGCAAUUUAAAUUAGAGUUUAAACAAGGAAAAAUGUACAAAAUUAUUGAUAAAUUUAUGUUUAAAAUAAUACUAAGGUAAUCCUCAAGGUUCCACUUCCGUCUAUCUCUGGAAACAAAUGUUUCUGUCUAAAGCGGAAAAAAACAAAAGAGUGCUAGCUUAUGAUCUCCAAAUCUUUAUUACUUUAAAAUAUCUCCUUCACGGUAUUACUUUCAAAAGUACAUACCUCCGUUACAUGGACAUCAUGUCCUUGUAAUGAUCAUAUUGAAUAGUAUUACAUGUACUUGCCAUUCUUUUAGUAUCAACACACUAAUGCGAGUUAACUCAUCUUACUCAAGUGUAGAAAUACAACAUCUACAGGCAAGCUUCUAAAAUGCAUCAAUGAACAGGUUACAAGUUUAUGAACUUCAAGAUGAUCGGUGACCCAAUGACAACUGUGUGGAAGAGGACUCUGUCAAUGUCACAAAAUAGAUAGAGGUAGAAUUGUGCCUCGCCAUCAGGCCAGGAGUACAGGUCACCAGAUUGACACUUCAUGUACUGAAGAUAUACAUUUUUACCUUCAACAGAG
rnacentral:lncRNA from 1 species